GAUGAACGCUUGCGGCGUGCCUAAUACAUGCAAGUCGAGCGAACGGACGAGAAGCUUGCUUCUCUGAUGUUAGCGGCGGACGGGUGAGUAACACGUGGAUAACCUACCUAUAAGACUGGGAUAACUUCGGGAAACCGGAGCUAAUACCGGAUAAUAUUUUGAACCGCAUGGUUCAAAAGUGAAAGACGGUCUUGCUGUCACUUAUAGAUGGAUCCGCGCUGCAUUAGCUAGUUGGUAAGGUAACGGCUUACCAAGGCAACGAUGCAUAGCCGACCUGAGAGGGUGAUCGGCCACACUGGAACUGAGACACGGUCCAGACUCCUACGGGAGGCAGCAGUAGGGAAUCUUCCGCAAUGGGCGAAAGCCUGACGGAGCAACGCCGCGUGAGUGAUGAAGGUCUUCGGAUCGUAAAACUCUGUUAUUAGGGAAGAACAUAUGUGUAAGUAACUGUGCACAUCUUGACGGUACCUAAUCAGAAAGCCACGGCUAACUACGUG
rnacentral:rRNA from 1 species